UGGAGAGAUGGCAGAGAGGCCGAAUGCGCCGGUUUGCUAAACCGGUGAGCCGUGUAAACGGUUCCACGGGUUCGAAUCCCGUUCUCUCCGU
rnacentral:tRNA from 2 species